rnacentral:rRNA from 1 species
UGAACGCUAGCGGGAUGCCUUACACAUGCAAGUCGAACGGCAGCACGGACUUCGGUCUGGUGGCGAGUGGCGAACGGGUGAGUAAUGUAUCGGAACGUGCCCAGUAGCGGGGGAUAACUACGCGAAAGCGUAGCUAAUACCGCAUACGCCCUACGGGGGAAAGCAGGGGAUCGCAAGACCUUGCACUAUUGGAGCGGCCGAUAUCGGAUUAGCUAGUUGGUGGGGUAACGGCUCACCAAGGCGACGAUCCGUAGCUGGUUUGAGAGGACGACCAGCCACACUGGGACUGAGACACGGCCCAGACUCCUACGGGAGGCAGCAGUGGGGAAUUUUGGACAAUGGGGGAAACCCUGAUCCAGCCAUCCCGCGUGUGCGAUGAAGGCCUUCGGGUUGUAAAGCACUUUUGGCAGGAAAGAAACGUCGCGGGUUAAUACCUCGCGAAACUGACG